AGCGAACGCUGGCGGCAGGCCUAACACAUGCAAGUCGAACGCACCUUCGGGUGAGUGGCGGACGGGUGAGUAACACGUGGGAACGUACCUUUAGGUUCGGAAUAACGCAGGGAAACUUGCGCUAAUACCGAAUGUGCCCUUCGGGGAAAGAUUAUCGCCUUUAGAGCGGCCCGCGUUAGAUUAGCUAGUUGGUGGGGUAAGUGGCCCACCAAGGCUACGAUCUAUAGCUGGUCUGAGAGGAUGAUCAGCCACACUGGGACUGAGACACGGCCCAGACUCCUACGGGAGGCAGCAGUGGGGAAUCUUGCGCAAUGGGCGAAAGCCUGACGCAGCCAUGCCGCGUGAAUGAUGAAGGUCUUAGGAUUGUAAAAUUCUUUUAGCAGGGACGAUAAUGACGGUACCUGC
rnacentral:rRNA from 1 species